rnacentral:rRNA from 1 species
UUGGAGGGCAAGUCUGGUGCCAGCAGCCGCGGUAAUUCCAGCUCCAAUAGCGUAUAUUAAAGUUGUUGCAGUUAAAAAGCUCGUGGUUGAAUUUCGGGGUCAGUAGGCUGGUCGUGCCACAGGUAUGUACUGGUCUCACUGAUUCCUCCUUCCUGAUGAACCGUAAUGCCAUUAAUUUGGUGUUGCGGGGAAUCUGGACUGUUACUUUGAAAAAAUUAGAGUGUUUAAAGCAGGCUAACGCUUGAAUACAUUAGCAUGGAAUAAUGAAAUAGGACGAUCGAUCCUAUUUUGUUGGUUUCUAGGAUUGACGUAAUGAUUAAUAGGGAUAGUUGGGGGCAUUAGUAUUCAAUUGUCAGAGGUGAAAUUCUUGGAUUUAUUGAAGACUAACUACUGCGAAAGCAUUUGCCAAGGAUGUUUUCAUUAAUCAAGAACGAAAGUUAGGGGAUCGAAGACGAUCAGAUACCGUCGUAGUCUUAACCAUAAACUAUGCCGACUAGGGAUCGGAUGAUGUUAAUUUUUUAAUGACUCAUUCGGCGCCUUACGGGAAA